rnacentral:rRNA from 1 species
GAUGAACGCUGGCGGCGUGCCUAAUACAUGCAAGUCGAGCGAACGGACGAGAAGCUUGCUUCUCUGAUGUUAGCGGCGGACGGGUGAGUAACACGUGGAUAACCUACCUAUAAGACUGGGAUAACUUCGGGAAACCGGAUCUAAUACCGGAUGAUAUUUUGAACCGCAUGGUUCAAAAGUGAAAGACGGUCUUGCUGUCACUUAUAGAUGGAUCCGCGCUGCAUUAGCUAGUUGGUAAGGUAACGGCUUACCAAGGCAACGAUGCAUAGCCGACCUGAGAGGGUGAUCGGCCACACUGGAACUGAGACACGGUCCAGACUCCUACGGGAGGCAGCAGUAGGGAAUCUUCCGCAAUGGGCGAAAGCCUGACGGAGCAACGCCGCGUGAGUGAUGAAGGUCUUCGGAUCGUAAAACUCUGUUAUUAGGGAAGAACAUAUGUGUAAGUAACUGUGCACAUCUUGACGGUACCUAAUCAGGAAGCCACGGCUAACUACGUG